CUACGGGUUGCUCCAGUAGGGAAUUUUCCACAAUGGGCGAAAGCCUGAUGGAGCAACGCCGCGUGCAGGAUGAAUGCCUUAGGGUUGUAAACUGCUUUUAUAUGUGACGAUUAUGACGGUAGCAUAUGAAUAAGGAUCGGCUAACUCCGUGCCAGCAGCCGCGGUCAUACGGAGGAUCCAAGCGUUAUCCGGAAUUACUGGGCGUAAAGAGUUGCGUAGGUGGCAUGGUAAGUAGAUAGUGAAAGCGUGUGGCUCAACCAUACUUACAUUAUCUAAACUGCUAAGCUAGAAGACGAGAGAGGUAGAUGGAAUUCCCAGUGUAGGAGUGAAAUCCGUAGAUAUUGGGAGGAACACCGAUGGCGUAGGCAGUCUACUGGCUCGUUCUUGACACUAAGGCACGAAAGCGUGGGGAGCAAAUGGGAUUAGAUACCCGAGUAGUC
rnacentral:rRNA from 1 species